UUCCUUUCCAUUUCUUUUGCCAGUGCAUCUCUUUCAGCUCCGUUUAGGAGAAGGGUCCACCAACAAUCCUCUCAUUUUCCUCUCCGUAUUUUCUUCAAACACAUAGAGAUUCAGAGACAGGAGCAGAAAAAGAAGAAGAAGAAAAGGGAUGUUUCUUAGCCAGUUGCAGAGCUCUCAGCCAUGGAUAUCACCGCCUCGAGUCCCGAGACUAAAUCUUAUUUCUUCUUCUUCCAGAAAGUGGAAAUCAUUGCCAAACCAAUUUUGGUGGAUCGAGUCUUCUGCUUUAAAUGCACGGAAUUUCAGAAUACACUUUGGUGGAAAUUGGAAGGCCAGUUCUCAGAGGCUGGGGGAUAAGAUGAUUUGUACCGCUUACAUGGAUAACAUAGAUGAUUCAGAUCCCAGGUUCUUUAGAACGAGGCAAAAUAGUGGUGCUCGGGUGAGAAUUAAGUGAACAGAACCUGAUGUGAAAAACUUUAGAUAUGGAUGUUUCGUCUGAAUUUCCUAGUUUGCUUCUUGUUUUUUAACUUGAAUACGGGAACUGGUACCUAUAAGAUGCUGUAUUUGUGUUCUAGAUAGUAUUGAUAUAUUUGGUUCAUGGUUUUUCCUUUUAGCGUAUCUCUGGAGUUCUUAAAAAAAUUAUCAGAAGUCAUACUCAAGCAUACCUCUCUUGCUUAAAUUGAUUGUGGAUGAUUGUGUGUUUUUAGUUGUAAGUUGUAGUAUAUAAGUUGAUGCAAUUCACUUUAUGUGCAGACUUAUGGAGCUGAACUCAUAAUUGGAUCUAUUUCAUCAUAUUACAUAUUCAGAUUAAUGCAAUUAAAUUUUGUAAAUUCAUUGAUAAUGAUGGUUCAAGAUUUAUCCCCCUCUUUGGAUUUGACUUUUGGAGUUAUAAGUUCACCUUUUGCUUGUGUAUCUAAUUCCUUGAGCAAACCCACGCCUCUUGGGCUGGAUGUAUCCUUCCCUCCCUUUCAAGAUCUUCGGUGGAGCCUAGCACGUUUAAUCUAUCUCUUCAAUAUCCAACUGGAAAGAAAUGUGGCAACGUUCUUUAUAGUGCUCCUUGUGGCUUGCUUCUCAUUUGUUGUCAUUGGUGGUUUCCUUUUUUUCAAGUUUAGAGGAAGUAAGCAGUCUCUGGAGGACUGCUUUUGGGAA
rnacentral:misc_RNA from 1 species